AUUGUGAUGUGGUCCGGGAGCGUUCCGGGUGGUAACAGCGUGGUUAGACGCUCUCUGCGGGGAAGGAGAGAAGGAACCACCUGAGGACUUCUCUAUUUUCCUGGUUCUCCAUGUAACUGAAGAUCCUAUAUUGGCAAUACCAAUGUGAGUGAUGAUGAUAAUGAUGAUGACGAUAUUAGCUAACUUUUAUC
rnacentral:lncRNA from 1 species